rnacentral:lncRNA from 11 species
CGCCAGCGUCGGCACGUCUCUCAAAACUCCAGAAAACCGGAUCUAUUUCUCUUUUUCUGUCUAUCUCUCUCGGAGCGACAGAAAAAAUUGUGCAAACGGGAAAAAAACAGAAGACCAGAAGCGAAGACGAGGCGGAAAUGACGGGUUUUUGUCUCCCAGCUUGCUUGCUGCCUGUCAAUGUCUCUCAAUGACUGUCGCAAUCGUUCCGGCUUUGUGUAUAUGUUCCAGCGACGAACGUGCCCAGCGUCGCGAUCGGUGAUGAACGAUGGAUCACCGUUCGCGCGGUCGCCGAACAGGAUGGAGACGUCGAACAGCUCUAAAAAUACCCGUGCUACAAAUCAAGCGGCCUCCACGAGUCUUCGCAGCGUCGGCUGCUGCCAUAGCAGUGGCUAUGACGGCACAUCCCGUUAAAGAACAGAGCCAUCACUUGCUGCUGAGCAACAGAAAAGGACUGACUGGCUGCGGGUCGCGCGCAGGGGUUGCUGCAGGCCAAGCCCGAGCUUCAAGCGUACGUCUUAAGUGGCUGAGGCAGCGGCGGCCAUCGUAUGGUUGUGAGACGGUGAUGAUGAUGGUAAAAAGUUUUCGUGUUGAUUUCGACAUUGAUGUAAAUGCAGGCACAAAAGUGUUGAUGUCUGUGUGGUUAUGACGAUGUUCGAGAACCUGCAGAUGUUUUGAUGAUGGUUGACGCGAGACUUAAAGUUGAACGCCAGCCCGCCUCCCGCUGGCCAGUUGCGUCAGGAAGAGUCUGUCGAGAGCUGUAGGACAAGAACGGAACGUCGGAAGAACGGAAAAAAAUAAUCAUAAUACAAGCUUGCAGGACCGUUUCGACGGAAAAAUUAUCUUCUGUACUUUCGAAAAAUCGUCCCUGCGAUCGGCGUGAGCGGACAGCAGAUUAUCUCAACAGAAAAACAGCUUAAAAAUUUAUUUCGAUUACGAAACUCAAACGUUGCCAAUAGAACACAGGGAUCUGCAAAGGUCUUCUUUAUCAAUUUGUUAUUUUUUAAGACGAUUUUGUUAUCUUUCAUUGCUGUUGACAUUACGUAUUUGCGGCAUCGUCGUUUAUAUGGUAUGAUUAUGUGUGGUUAGCCAGUUUAAAUACAUAUUGCGUCAAGUUCUACCGCUCGCUGAAACGUCAUACGACGUACGCUCCAGUAUUGUACUGGAUGUUUUUAUUACCUAAAUAUUCUGGUUGAUGUUACUUAAGCAUGACAUCAUGACAUAAACAUGUCCAGGAAAUGCGUCAGUGAAUGCAGAGAGCUCUCAGUACGCGUACGAUAAGACGCCAUCAUUGAUCAGCUUCGUAACCGUGACUUCUUAUCAGUUCUGUAUUAUAGCUUGACUUAAAAUCAAAGGGGUACUACGUUACGUCGUUGUCUAUGAAGCCCCACAAAAAGGUCGUCCUUCCCCAGCAAUUAAAUCGACGUGCCUGAAGACGAAGAUAGGCAGCUGUCUAGAGUCCGGGUUAUUCACCAUACGUUAAUUUUUAACUAUAUCGUAUAUUAACAGAUUUUAGCAGUUAGCUUUCAUUUCCCUUUGCAUAGUUAUUUCCUCAAUGUUUAGUAUGUUACGUAUAUCAAUAUAUACAUCCAUAUAUAUAUAUAUAGGGAGAUGCUAGGACUUCUGUAAUGUGAUUCAUAUUGCAACAUUGUCUAAUCAUUUGAGUAGUGGUGUUUAGCAUUAUGGAAAUAUAUAAUCGCCAGAAGAAUAUAUGGAAAACAAUUAUAGUACGGAAAUUCCUAUUCACGUUGAAGAUAAUAUUGUUUAAUUACACAUAUAUGCCCUAUAUCAGUGCAGCGCGAUCAAUCAUUAGUGAUGAUGAUGAUGAUGCUGAUGAUAGGCUAAACUUUACUUAAAGGCAGUGGAUUACAGAGCAGCGGCCAUACCAUUAUGUUUGAGCAUCCCUCGAGGGAACAAAUUAUGUCGUAUCAACCUCAAAGUGGAGCUGAAUAAUGCUUGUGCUGUUACACCAGUGAUUACACUGCGCCUUCCAAGCCGGAAGAUAGUCGUUCGGGCUGUGCAGGCCGCCUCCGCCUCCUCCUCCUCUUUAGGGGAGCAUGUGUACAUCGCUACAAAUCAUCCAUUGUGGAUAUAUACAUUCCUUCAUUAGAAGUGGCCUUCGACUCGAACGUUGGCAACGUUACUCAUCCCGUAGUAGCUACGGUACAAUUUUAAAUGGGUCCAGACGAUACCGAAAUACGUUUCGAUGACAAACUUUUGUCGGACAAGUGACAACAAUGAGCGAAUGCAGGAAUACAAAGUCUGAUUUUCGUAUUUAGGUAAAGUUAGGUUUGUCGCUUUUCCUGUAACGGCAGUACGAAAAAACCUUGUCGAUCAUGCUGAUUUCUCGAUGGGAGGAGAGUACGAGCGUCGAGACUAUCAGCGUAACAGCGACUAGUAGUGCCAUUAUGAUGCGGUCUCUGAGUUUGUACUGAGCACUCUAAAUUUCUACCUAUCGUUCAUUCGUCCUUAAAUUGUGCUUCAGUACAAAACUAGCCGAUUUUCCGCUACGUCAAGGCUGUUCCGUACUUUAAAGAUAAACCUCAAUUUGUCGAGAGCUAUUAUAUUAUAGCCACGAAUGACAGCUUUGGUCAAUUUGUACAAGUGUUGAAUCAUUGAAGUGUACAGCUUUCUGCUCUUUACUGGCUUACCGGAAGGCUAUUGCAACGAGUGUUCGAAAUUGUCUCUUGGACUUUAUGGAAAUAAACACAAAUUUAUAUAUAUAUAUUAGUCAAAGGUCAGUCAUCUGUGUUCGCCCGUUGACUUGCUUUCGAUUAUUAGUUUAGUAUAAAAAAAUAUGGCAAUAUCUAACGCACAGUUUCGCCUUGAUUUACCUUCGUACUCGUACGUUCAGGCUUGAAUUGACAGAAAUUCAACUAUGAGAUAACUACAGAUUUACUUGCCGUUCGGACGCAAACUAAAAUUUGUGUAAUCUGUUACGUGAGAUUGCUGGGUAUAUACAACUGAAGUUGGAAAAUCGACAAGCUUCGACAAGGACGAUGACAUUUUGACCGAUCAAAAACCGAUGGAAUCUUGUGUGAUUAACAGGCUGGCAAGCAGGAAAAGUACGCAUCAAAUCUUCUUAAACACCGCUCGCGUCUACAUGUUAUAAAGGCAGGAUUAAGGGAGCUAAUUUCAGAUGCGGUGGUCGAUGUAUCCGAUACAAUAUCAACCAUUCUUCGUUGGAGUACUUCGCCAGUCGAACAGUCGGUAGCCCAGACGAUGGCGCACGCUUCCCUGAUGGCCCUUCUUACUGUAUAAUAUAAUAUUCUAGUUUCUGCAAUCAAGUUCGAAAUUUUUUCAUCGAU